AUGAAGCUUGCUGGUGCUUUGAUGAUCCUUGAGGCUGCCCUAUUCCUCCUGACUUCAGGGGGAGAUUGUGGCAUUUGCCCAGCUAUAAAAGAGGAUGUUAAUCUAUUUUUUAAUGGAACCUUAGAAGAGUAUGUUGAUUAUGUGAAACAAUAAAAAAGAUGACACUGAAAUACUGGAAAAUACUGAAAAAAAAUCAAGAAAUGUGUGGAUAGCACGUUGACAGAGGAAGACAAGGCACAUGAAAUCUGUUUGCAGGAAAAAAUAGAAGCCAGCACGGCAUGUUGA
rnacentral:lncRNA from 1 species